rnacentral:rRNA from 1 species
CCUACGGGCGGCAGCAGUGAGGAAUAUUGGUCAAUGGACGAGAGUCUGAACCAGCCAAGUAGCGUGAAGGAUGACUGCCCUAUGGGUUGUAAACUUCUUUUGUAUGGGAAUAAAAUGUUCCACGUGUGGGAUUUUGUAUGUACCAUAUGGAUAAGGAUCGGCUAACUCCGUGCCAGCAGCCGCGGUAAUACGGAGGAUCCGAGCGUUAUCCGGAUUUAUUGGGUUUAACGGGAGCGUAGGUGGAUUGUUAAGUCAGUUGUGAAAGUUUGCGGCUCAACCGUAAAAUUGCAGUUGAAACUGGCAGUCUUGAGUACAGUAGAGGUGAGCGGAAUUCGUGGUGUAGCGGUGAAAUGCUUAGAUAUCACGAAGAACUCCGAUUGCGAAGGCAGUUCACUGGACUGCAACUGACACUGAGGCUCGAAAGUGUGGGUAUCAAACAGGAUUAGAUACCCGAGUAGUC